GACGAACGCUGGCGGCGUGCUUAACACAUGCAAGUCGAACGGAAAGGCCCUGCUUUUGUGGGGUGCUCGAGUGGCGAACGGGUGCGUAACACGUGAGUAACCUGCCCUUGACUUUGGGAUAACUUCAGGAAACUGGGGCUAAUACCGGAUAGGAGCCCCUGCUGCAUGGUGGGGGUUGGAAAGUUUCGGCGGUUGGGGAUGGACUCGCGGCUUAUCAGCUUGUUGGUGGGGUAGUGGCUUACCAAGGCUUUGACGGGUAGCCGGCCUGAGAGGGUGACCGGCCACAUGGGGACUGAGAUACGGCCCAGACUCCUACGGGAGGCAGCAGUGGGGAAUAUUGCACAAUGGGCGGAAGCCUGAUGCAGCAACGCCGCGUGCGGGAUGACGGCCUUCGGGUUGUAAACCGCUUUCGCCUGUGACGAAGCGUGAGUGACGGUAAUGGGUAAAGAAGCACCGGCUAACUACGUG
rnacentral:rRNA from 1 species